rnacentral:rRNA from 1 species
GACGAACGCUGGCGGCGUGCUUAACACAUGCAAGUCGAACGGAGUGGCGAACGGGUGAGUAACACGUGGGUGAUCUGCCUUGCACUUCGGGAUAAGCUUGGGAAACUGGGUCUAAUACCGGAUAGUGCAAGAUGAGCUCGCGGCCGAUCAGCUUGUUGGUGGGGUAAUGGCCUACCAAGGCGUCGACGGGUAGCCGGCCUGGGAGGGUGUACGGCAGCAUUGGGACUGUGAUACGGCCCAUGCUCCUACGGGAGGCAGCAGUGGGGAAUAUUGCCCAAUAGGCGGAAGCAUGAUGCAGCGGCGCCGCGUGUGGGAUGAAGGCCUUCGGGUUGUGAACGCCUUUCGACAGGGACGCGGUACCUGGAUAAGAAGCACCGGCUAACUACGUGCCAGCAGCCGCGGUAAUUC